CUGGAGAUGAUGACACCCCUGAGCUGACCCCCCCGUGAUGGUCACUGGUGUUCGUACUGUCUGAUCCAG